rnacentral:rRNA from 1 species
GUGAGCGCUGGCGGUAGGCCUAACACAUGCAAGUCGAACGGCAGCACAGUAAGAGCUUGCUCUUACGGGUGGCGAGUGGCGGACGGGUGAGGAAUACAUCGGAAUCUACUUUUUCGUGGGGGAUAACGUAGGGAAACUUACGCUAAUACCGCAUACGACCUACGGGUGAAAGCAGGGGAUCUUCGGACCUUGCGCGAUUGAAUGAGCCGAUGUCGGAUUAGCUAGUUGGCGGGGUAAAGGCCCACCAAGGCGACGAUCCGUAGCUGGUCUGAGAGGAUGAUCAGCCACACUGGAACUGAGACACGGUCCAGACUCCUACGGGAGGCAGCAGUGGGGAAUAUUGGACAAUGGGCGCAAGCCUGAUCCAGCCAUACCGCGUGGGUGAAGAAGGCCUUCGGGUUGUAAAGCCCUUUUGUUGGGAAAGAAAAGCAGCAGGUUAAUACCCCGCUGUUCUGACGGUACCCAAAGAAUAAGCACCGGCUAACUUCGUG